GGGCAGCCCAGCUGCAGGAGGAAAGCACUGAAAGAGCCAGUGCCCAGGACUGCAGGUGAGGACUGUGGAACCCUAGUGCUUGAGAGGGAGACAGCCAAGACACAAUCUGGCUAUCACAGUUUUGAUUCUCCUCUAAAAGCGUUCACCAUUAGAAUUACUGGAAAGGCUGUACAGAGACUCGUGAGCAGAGUUACCAGUAACUCUAAGACCAGCGUACCACAGGAAUUUCCAGAACUCCGUGAAGAGGCCGAAGGCUCGCCAAGUGCCAGCGCAACUUGGAAGAGGAACUAAGGAAGGAGACUGAGUCAACGAGUGAAACCAUGGGUUUUCUGCCCUUUACUUGAAAGAUUACUUUUUUGUUGUUGUUUUCUAGAUUUAAAGCUUCUGAAGCUAUCUACAGCUUACAGUAAUUUGAUAAAAAUAUACUUUUGUAAACAGGUGGGAAUAAUUUACUUUUCCCUCCCUGCUUAAUUCCUCUCAAAUUAAAA
rnacentral:lncRNA from 1 species